rnacentral:lncRNA from 1 species
AUGGACCAUUUAAUAGUAGGUCAGGAAUUCUGAAAACGAUUAGUAACGCGGUUCCAAACAAAAGCAUAUCAUAUAGUUUCGUAUUUUUUUUCUUCAAAAUGUACUCCAUUUCUAGUGUAAAUAAUUGAAUUUUAUACCCUUUUCUAUAUCUUUCCCUUUUUUGUAAAAAAAAAAAAAAUUGAAAUAUCAAAGGGGAAGCCAGGCGAAAGAACAAAUUUUUUGACAUGUCAGGCUGAAAAUGAUGUCAAAGAAAAACUCAGCACAAUG